rnacentral:rRNA from 1 species
GACGAAGGGGGCAAGCGUUGUUCGGAAUUACUGGGCGUAAAGGGCGCGUAGGCGGUUCUUUAAGUCAGGCGUGAAAGCCCCGGGCUCAACCUGGGAAUGGCGAUGGAUACUGGCGAGCUAGAGUACGGUAGAGGAGAGUGGAAUUCCCGGUGUAGCAGUGAAAUGCGUAGAGAUCGGGAGGAACAUCAGUUGCGAAGGCGGCUCUCUGGACCAGUACUGACGCUGAGGCACGAAAGCGUGGGGAGCAAACAGG